GAUGAACGCUGGCGGCGUGCCUAAUACAUGCAAGUCGAGCGAACGGACGAGAAGCUUGCUUCUCUGAUGUUAGCGGCGGACGGGUGAGUAACACGUGGAUAACCUACCUAUAAGACUGGGAUAACUUCGGGAAACCGGAGCUAAUCCCGGAUAAUAUUUUGAACCGCAUUGUUCAAAAGUGAAAGACGGUCUUGCUGUCACUUAUAGAUGGAUCCGCGCUGCAUUAGCUAGUUGGUAAGGUAACGGCUUACCAAGGCAACGAUGCAUAGCCGACCUGAGAGGGUGAUCGGCCACACUGGAACUGAGACACGGUCCAGACUCCUACGGGAGGCAGCAGUAGGGAAUCUUCCGCAAUGGGCGAAAGCCUGACGGAGCAACGCCGCGUGAGUGAUGAAGGUCUUCGGAUCGUAAAACUCUGUUAUUAGGGGAGAACAUAUGUGUAAGUAACUGUGCACAUCUUGACGGUACCUAAUCAGAAAGCCACGGCUAACUACGUG
rnacentral:rRNA from 1 species